rfam:Rattus norvegicus chromosome 11, whole genome shotgun sequence.
GGAUUUAGCUCAGUGGUAGAGCGCUUGCCUAGCAAGCGCAAGGCCCUGGGUUCGGUUCCCAGCUCCG